rnacentral:rRNA from 1 species
GGCUUUGAAGCAUUGUCGCCAGACAAUGUGGAGCCAUAGGUGAAAUACCACCCUGUUGUUUCCUGAUGUCUAACCUCGAUCCAUGAAACUGGAUCAGGGACCCUCUGUGGCGGGUAGUUUGACUGGGGCGGUCGCCUCCUAAAGAGUAACGGAGGCGCGCGAUGGUAGGCUCAGGACGGUUGGAAACCGUCUGUUAGAGUGCAAUGGCAUAAGCCUGCCUGACUGCGAG